GGCAUUACUGUUAGACAUUAUCUGAAAAUAUAAAAGAGAAAGUUAAAAAAGUUCGUAAUUGUAUUUUUACCUGUCACCAUGAAAGAGCUCUUGUCUAUUUCUACCGUCAAACGAGACCCACGAAGUAUUUCUGCUGUCUGAUGAAAAACGUCAAGUCUUCAAAGAGAUAGAUAGAUAGAUAGAGAGAAAGAGAGAGAGAGAGAGAGAGAGAGAGAAAUUGAGAGAAAGAAAGAGAAAGAGAGAGAGAGAAUAUAACUGCGACUCAAGAAGAUUUUGAAGAAGGCGAAGAGAGCAACGCAUGGUCUGGGAAUGUGGACUACGGUAGAGUUAGUGGAGAGCCAACUUUCCUUCUAUGGGAUCGAUCGAGUCAGUCGGAAGUUUCGAGUUCAUUUGGGAGAUCUUUUUCUCGAUCGAUAAGGAUAAUAAAAAAUUUGGAUGUUGUUAAAUGACAUCGAAAAGGACAAAGUUUUUAAUACUCGAAAGUUUCAAUCCUCUUAUAAAAGGUGGUGAGUCUUUUAAUAAUCGUCACAAGCUAAUAUCUCGUAUAAAAGAAAUUUUAGAUGAAAAUGUUACAUACAAAAGUUUUGUAAUAUCAUAAGAGACACAAAAUGAUGUCAUUGGUUUAACCUUAGAUAAUCGUAUUGAAGAUCAUAUGAAGGUUACGUUUACACUUUUAAAUGCAAACUAUAUAUUUUCUUAUUGCACAUUCAUAUAGAAUACGUUGAAACGUUUUCAAAACAAGACUGACUUGUUUGUUUUCCGUGUAAUCUACUAUUGAGAUACUAUGUAUUAUAAGUUGUUAUGUCGUUAUGUAUGUAUAUUUGCAUAUAUAUAUAUAUGUAUGUACAUAUAUACAAUACAAAGACGGAUCGUACAACGUCCGCGUGGUACACCUUGAAUAAUGCUAAUGCGGUAUUGUAAUUUCCAAGCUUUGUAACUCGAAAAGUAAUUAGUAAAAAGAAAAAAAUA